GUCUAUGGCCACACUACCCUGAACAUACCUGAUCUCAUCAGCUAGGCAGGAUAAGACUUGGUUAAAUUAAAUGUGUUUCUAUGUGUGAAGCACACAGAAGAGUGAAGGGCAUAGGUC
rnacentral:rRNA from 1 species